GAUGAACGCUGGCGGCGUGCCUAAUACAUGCAAGUCGAGCGAACAGACGAGGAGCUUGCUCCUCUGACGUUAGCGGCGGACGGGUGAGUAACACGUGGAUAACCUACCUAUAAGACUGGGAUAACUUCGGGAAACCGGAGCUAAUACCGGAUAACAUGUUGAACCGCAUGGUUCAACAGUGAAAGACGGUCUUGCUGUCACUUAUAGAUGGAUCCGCGCCGCAUUAGCUAGUUGGUAAGGUAACGGCUUACCAAGGCAACGAUGCGUAGCCGACCUGAGAGGGGGAUGGGCCACACUGGAACUGAGAAACGGUCCAGACUCCUACGGGAGGCAGAAGUAGGGAAUCUUCCGCAAUGGGCGAAAGCCUGACGGAGCAACGCCGCGUGAGUGAAGAAGGUCUUCGGAUCGUAAAACUCUGUUAUUAGGGAAGAACAAAUGUGUAAGUAACUAUGCACGUCUUGACGGUACCUAAUCAGAAAGCAACGGCUAACUACGU
rnacentral:rRNA from 1 species